ACUCCUACGGGAGGCAGCAGUGGGGAAUAUUGCACAAUGGGCGCAAGCCUGAUGCAGCCAUGCCGCGUGUGUGAAGAAGGCCUUCGGGUUGUAAAGCACUUUCAGUCGUGAGGAAGGUAGUGUAGUUAAUAGCUGCAUUAUUUGACGUUAGCGACAGAAGAAGCACCGGCUAACUCCGUGCCAGCAGCCGCGGUAAGUACGGAGGGUGCGAGCGUUAAUCGGAAUUACUGGGCGUAAAGCGCAUGCAGGUGGUUUGUUAAGUCAGAUGUGAAAGCCCGGGGCUCAACCUCGGAAUAGCAUUUGAAACUGGCAGACUAGAGUACUGUAAGAGGGGGUAGAAUUUCAGGUGUAGCGGUGAAAUGCGUAGA
rnacentral:rRNA from 1 species